UACGGAGGGAGCUAGCGUUAUUCGGAAUUACUGGGCGUAAAGCGCACGUAGGCGGCUUUGUAAGUAAGAGGUGAAAGCCUGGAGCUCAACUCCAGAACUGCCUUUAGACUGCAUCGCUUGAAUCCAGGAGAGGUGAGUGGAAUUCCGAGUGUAGAGGUGAAAUUCGUAGAUAUUCGGAAGAACACCAGUGGCGAAGGCGGCUCACUGGACUGGUAUUGACGCUGAGGUGCGAAAGCGUGGGAGCAACAGG
rnacentral:rRNA from 1 species